UGCAGUGUAAAAAUAGCCUUUGGAGUCUAUAGCAGUUUGUUGGCUGACCUCCAUAUUGAGGAUGCUUCCAGCUGAGACAAGCAGUUGGGGUUGUUCUACUGCACUGAAGAUUUGUUCGGGCUGAUAGAUAAAGCUAUGAAUAGGAACCCCAAAUACUGGAACUCCAGCACUCAUUACAACCAAUAUAGCAUUGUAGUAAAAUGCUGUUCUUUUUCAACUGGCCUCUACAUAUUCUCACUUGUGAGAUUGGGGCUUCCUGGUGCUGAGCUGCGGAAUCUUCUAGAGAGCUGGGUCUGUUGGAGCUUUAGUUUCCUGUGGGGUGGUGAAGGUGUCUCAUUCUUCCUAUACAACGUCUUCUAAAAGAUACGGUGAGAUUUCCCAAAGGGUACGAGGGCCUUUGUUACCCAGGAGCACGACAAUCUUAUAACUUGGCGCUUCCUUUGCACCCCUGGAAUUUAGAUAGGUUUAUCAGUGUAAAUUGCUGGCUCUCCCUCAGGGACAGGAUUUGGGAAAGCGGUGGUGGCAGCAGAGGCAGCUCUCUGAGGAACUGUCGACCCAAGGAAAACUGGAGUCUGAGGCUUCUGUAUGUGUGAUGUCCACACCUGGAAUGAGAACACCAAACAAGAAAUUAGCAAGAAGUAGAUUCAAGUGUUGGACACCAGCCUUUAUCCUGUUGGAUCCUUAUCUGCAGCUAAUUACAGUUCACUGCACUAGAGGACUUGACAUUACCUUGUGACCAAAAAGCACAUACCAUGUGCUCUUUAGAUUUAGAGACUACUAUAUGUUCAUAUAUGUUUGAACACAGAAUUAAUACCCUUGUAUGUUAUCACUACACUAUUUGGCUGCUGAGAUGAAAAUCUAUGAUAAUACAUAUCUAGGACCACUCAUGGAUGUUCAUUGCAGUAUGAAUGGUAGGGUUUGGAGACAUUAUGGAGCCAUGGGCAGCAUGGGGAAGCUUGCUGCUGAACCUGUUCUGUCGAGAAAUAUAGGGCUUCAGUCUUCAGGGUUUCCAAUGUCGCUUUCGCAACAGCCAAAUUCCUGUAGCUGUAGAGGACACAAUAAAGAUCUUUAUGACUCUGGCUGACAAGGUCUGUGGUCUAGAAGUAAUGUUAUGGAUGCCAACUGCAGCGAUGACUCCUCCUCUCACAUUGGCCACUACAAAGCUGCCAGAUGACUGACUCUGUCAUUACUACACGUGGGCCAGAACCGUAGCACUUUGUCCAAAAGCCCCACUGACUCUGGGUCCAAAUCUGAGCUUGGAUUAGGCCAGUAUCCAGGACCAGGUCAUCUACAGCUCACACCAACGCCAAUGGAAUUAAAGCGAAGGCUGGCAAGGAGUGGGGGAAAUGCAGGCUUUCAGGCACUGGCCCUUGUUGGAGACAGGAGACUGGAUGAGUCGUUGGAUACGCUAAGCACAGCAGAAAAACAUACAAUCAGCAACUGCCCACCUGCUUCUAAUGUGUAUGAAGAGUAUGAACAUAGUAAGAAAGGCCUCAGCAUGUGGAGAACCACUAUACUAGCAGCCCCUUGUAAGCUGGAGCAGUGGAGCCUGCCCACAGAUGGAAGAGGAAACCAUAGUGAGAUAAGUGGAAGUAUAUUUUGGAAGGCACUGUCACAAUUACAAAUUUCAAACUCAAUAGUCCUUGAGAAAUUAAUAAUACGGACAAUCCCCCCCCAAUCGAUUUUAAUUAGUAAUUAGCAGUGUUAACAGCUAUUUCUGUUUUUAAGUCAUUAAUGAUUGCACUUGUAACACUGGCCAGUAAAUAAUGGUUACAGUUGAUGUGCUGUGGUAGGUUUAAGAUGAUAGCAAUAUAUUAAUUUUGUUAACAUUUCCUGUCUUGCGGCAUUAUUAGUUCAAAUUACUAUUUCUUUAAAAAUCCCCAACAUGCUUUGAACUCCAUGGCUUGUCUUUAUGAAGGAUAUGGACACAACAAUCGUGAAAAUAUUAUUAAAUUAAAUAGUAUUAUUAUUAAAAUAUAAGCCAAUUACCGUGUGUGUCUGUGUGUAUACACACUCUAUAAUGUUACCAGAAAUAACUAGGAUUAAAAAUGAGUGCUUGUAUAUUUUACUCUCCCCAUAAAAAUUAUAUUUUUAUAUAUAUAAACAUUCUUAAAAAUUUAAAAUACACAUUUAUGCAGGAGAUACACAUGACCAUUUCUUGUCAUACAUUAAAGGAGAUCAUAACAUAGUAAUAGUUAUAAACUGAUCAAUGUACUAUCUCUAUUAGAUACAAAAAUCAUGCAGCCCAGCAUCAAUGGGCGUUUUGUGGGGUGAUCAUGGCUUGAUGGAUAAGGGGUGUGUAUGUGUGUGUGGGGGGGGAGGCUGUUUUUCUAGGUAGGUUUUUUUUUUUUGCAUAUAUUGGUAGAUACACAUACACAUUUAAGUACCCUCCACAUGUAUUGUAACAAUCCCCCUCCCCUCUGUAAUUAUGAUUUUAAUUCCAUAGAUUUAUUUGAAAUUUAAAAUGUGACUGAUCAGAUUUAUUCCUAGCUAAGAAUCAAUAGAAAUAAAAUUUGACAUUUAAAUGUAUUUUGUAUCCGUAUAGAAAAAUGUAAACUACAAAGGUAAACACAUGGUUUAAUAGGCAUAACUUUUAUUUUGUAUUGACUGACUUUUUAAUUUACACUAUUAGAGGUAUAAGAAUAUUCAUUUGCAAAAAUGAAUAUGCCAAAAGGCCAAACAAUUUUUUUUUAAACAUGUAAUUAACUCAAGCUCAGUUAAAAGGGUAGGAAACUGGCAGUGAUCCAAAUACUAAGGUAAUGUCUUUAAUUUAAUUUGCUUAGGUUUAAUUUUUUAAUCUAGAUAAUUGCUCUAUGGUUACUAGUAACAAUGUUAUCUCAUAGCUGUAAUAUUUGGUACAGUACUUAAUUAUGAAUUAUGGUUUUCUUUGCAAUAAAGCAACGGUGCUCACUUAUUUUUAGAAAACUGCAUUCAUAGCAAAUCCGUAAUCCUCACAGCAAUGCUGCCUACUGACACUUUUUCAUUUGUUUCCCCAAAGACUUCUGGAAUCAUCAUUUAUUCCUUUGGGUUUUAAAGAAUGCCAGCAACUGCUAUAAGCUUAAUAAAUGUGAAAACACUAACUUUGUUGGGUUCUAGCUCCUGAUUCUCUUCCAGUUUCCAACCCACAAGAUUGAUUUUUAAAAUAAACAUUUGCAAAAAGGAAUGAUUAAAGGCCAAGGAAAAAAGAAAGUGAAGAUCAAAAGGUGUUUUCUUAAUUUAAAAUAUAUAGGGGACAUAGUAGCUUAGCAUAAAAUACAAAUGGUAUAUAUUGUAAUACCUCAAAGUGAGAUGGCAACCAACCAUGUGUAACGUUUCAAUGGUAUCCAUUUGUAAAAGCCGUUGCAAUCAAAGGUCCCUAAAAUUGUACAAUUAUUAAGGUCAUCAGUGUUCUAUACAUGGGAACAGAUUAUUAUUUUUUUGGCAAGUAAUUAUCAAAGGACUUGAAAGACUGUGUUGCCAGCAUGAAUAUGUGUUUAAGAAAGCUGUUCUCUGGUCACCACUGACUUGAUGUGUUGAAUUCUAAUCUUAUCUUUCCAAGACACUAAUCUUCUCACCCCCCACCCCUCUAAAUUUUCGGUUUUUUAAACAUUAGGAUUAGUAAAUGGACAAUGUUAAAAAAAAUAAAGAAUAAAAAAGACCCCCAUGUUCUCGAUAAGGUUAUGGGGGGAGAGGAGGAAUUAGGAGGCUGCCAAUCUGCACGUCAGAGAGAAAAUACUUCCUUAAAAAAUGAUAGUACAGACAAAACAAGAUGCCAAAUGUAUUAUUAUUAUUAGACAAUCAGGACGUUGCAAAAGUCAAAGUGCACAAGUUUUCAAGAACAAACAGGUCUUUUUCUUUAGGCGAAAAGUGGAAAUGAGGGGUGUUGUAAGUGGUGAUAGAUGGCAGUUUAAAUUGAUGUAGCUUUUGGCAGAAUAAUCAUAAUCCACAUUUCAGAGCACCACUGAUCCAAUGAGAUUGUCAAGUUACUUAAGUGACCUUACGAUGGGAAUGGAAUCGAACAAGAAUUCAGAACAUUAGGGCAAAACUAGAAGGCGCAAAAAGAUUUGGAGAGCGAAGACCUCCCUCUGUCUCCAAAACUGCACAAAAUAACAUGGCUGUUCUACUCUACAUCCAUAAGAUGAGAGAAGCUAGAGAUGGAAAUGACCAGAUCGGAGCAUCCAGCUUUCUACAUGUGCAGAUUAGAGACCCCCACAAGAAGAAAUCACAUAUCCAACUAAUGCUGUGCUGCGUGCGUGGAGGAGAGGAGGAGAGAAACAUUUCAAAGCUUCAAAUAUUUUUACUUACUUAAAAUGUAUUUGAAAGGAUGAAGUAUUGGGGAGGCGGAGCUGGCAGAUCUGGAUACCGAUGUUUACAGCGUAUAUCCAGUGAUUACUGAAGAAGCAACUGUAUGAGCCUCAUAAAAUACCACCUCACGUCUAACAGGAGCAGCAAUAUGGGCUAGAUCCUCAGCUAGUGUAAAUCAGAAAUGCUCCGUUCCUUUCGGUGGAGCAAUAUCGAUUUACACAGCUGAGGAUAUGGGACAGAUCUUUUAGGACAGUAAAAAUGGCAAGCCACCUCAAGCAGAGACUUCUCCAUAGAUGACCCCCUAACACUGAUGGAUUUUAUUGAGAUUGUCUUUUGGUACCCAUUGUGGUAAACUGGAAGUGGAAUAGAGCUAAGGACACUCAUUGAUUCUCCCUGGGAUCAAACUGAGGGAGCUCUGGAAUGUGAGUUAGAUGGAAACAAAUUCCCCUUGUUAAAAUAAAAUAAUCAUCGUAACGUACAGUGGCAUGCCAUUUGUAGUGAAUUCCACAAGACAGCAGCUCUCUUUAUAGUCAUGAAUGAAAACCCCAUUUCAGGGCACUGCCCUGUGCAAAAUGUAACCCUGAUAUUGAGAAUGAAGUUUUUCUGUGCAAACAUAACUAAAAAUAACACUAGUUUACUAGACGAGGAUUCUACUACAUACACAAGGAGAAGAGGGGAUGGAAUGCGAGUAUCCCCUAGGUAUUUACCACAUGGGAGAUAAAAUGGGUACUCAAAAGAUCUCAAAGGAAGAUUUCCCACGCUUACAGGAGCUGCUGACUGAUGCCAAUAUGCUGCUAAUAGUAGCACAAAUGGUUUAGCAAUAAGUGGCUAUAACACCACAACCAAUAAUAUAGGAAGACACAUCAGCAUCCAGGGUAAAAUCAUUCAAUUUGCAACUGCAAAAAUCAUAAGUAGAUGACAAGAAAACACUUGCUUUAGUGAUUUCCUGUAAGGAAGAGAGAAAACUAAAAGCCACCAAACAGAUUUCUAGAAGCUAGUCUAAUCUCUCCCCAUCUCUCCCCAGGGAGUUUUGCUGACUUAAAGGUAGGGGAUUAUUGUUUUCCAAUAUCAUUUUUGGCUGUCAGUCCAAGGAGAUCAAGAAUUAAGUGUUAUCCAUUCUCCCCUUCCACCCAAGGCACCAACCAGCUGAUGCAAGUCUCUACUUAGCUCAGCAUAAAAUCACUGUCUGAUGAUUCAGCAUUAAACAUGGGCAGGUACAGUUAACUUCCUCCACUGCUAGGGAUUUUAUUGUACUUGUGAAGUCUUGUUGAUCAGGCCCCACAUUUUCCACAUGCCUUAAAAGGUUUGGGUUCAAUUUACUAACCAAUUGCACAUGAAACCAUCCUGCACAGAACAUUUCACAGCAGAAGAACUUCAGCCUAAUAACUCAAACCUUCGAGUUUCUCAUAUGCAGAAUUUGUGGUCCCAGUCUUUACUAGCAGAUACUGUACCAGAGUAGUGUCAAGAAAGAUGUGGGAAAGAUUGUAUGCAUCUGUGAUUUCGAUCUCACCCACAACCCAGGGGUCCUCAGCAUAAAACUGAGGAUCUUCUAGAUUUCCUCAGACCCCACCACUCCUUUCCAGUGGCAUCUUUCCCUGAGGGUGAGAUGGUCCAGUGCCUAGAGCAAUUAUAAUCAAGGGGCAGGAUCCAUCAGAUGUGGCAGAGAAUGGGAUGCAUACAUUUUUUGUUCAAUAUGUGUUUUGACUUAGUUGUGUGUCUUAUUACAGUGCUCUGAUCA